CGGCCACGAGAGGUUGAAACAUUGGUUCCCGUACGAUCACUGAAAUUAAGCAACGUCGAGCCUGGUCAGUACCUAGAUGGGUGACCGCUUAGGAAUACUAAGUGUUGGA